UACAGAGACUGCAAGCGUUAUUCGGAUUCACUGGGCGUAAAGGGUGCGCAGGCGGCCAAGUGUGUUAGGCGUGAAAGCCCGGGGCUUAACCCCGGAAUUGCACCUAAAACUACUUGGCUAGAGCAUUGGAGAGGGUAGCGGAAUUCACGGUGUAGCAGUGAAAUGCGUAGAUAUCGUGAGGAACACCAGAGGCGAAGGCGGUUACCUGGACAGUUACUGACGCUCAGGCACGAAAGCAUGGGGAGCAAAAGGG
rnacentral:rRNA from 1 species